rnacentral:rRNA from 1 species
UACGUAGGGUGCGAGCGUUGUCCGGAAUUAUUGGGCGUAAAGAGCUUGUAGGCGGUUUGUCGCGUCUGCCGUGAAAUUUCGAGGCUCAACCUCGAACUUGCGGUGGGUACGGGCAGACUAGAGUGUGGUAGGGGAGACUGGAAUUCCUGGUGUAGCGGUGAAAUGCGCAGAUAUCAGGAGGAACACCGGUGGCGAAGGCGGGUCUCUGGGCCGAUGACUGACGCUGGAGGAGCGAAAGCGUGGGGAGCGAAACAGGA